GACGAACGCUGGCGGCGUGCUUAACACAUGCAAGUCGAACGGAAAGGCCCUGCUUUUGUGGGGUGCUCGAGUGGCGAACGGGGGAGUAACACGUGAGUAACCUGCCCUUGACGUUGGGAUAACUUCAGGAAACUGGGGCUAAUACCGGAUAGGAGCACCUGCUGCAUGGUGGGGGUUGGAAAGUUUCGGCGGUUGGGGAUGGACUCGCGGCUUAUCAGCUUGUUGGUGGGGUAGUGGCUUACCAAGGCUUGGACGGGUAGCCGGCCUGAGAGGGUGGCCGGCCACCUUGGGACUGGGAUACGGCCCAUACUCCUACGGGGGGCAGCAGUGGGGAAUAUUGCACAAUGGGCGGAAGCCUGAUGCAGCAACGCCGCGUGCGGGAUGACGGCCUUCGGGUUGUAAACCGCUUUCGCCUGUGACGAAGCGUGAGUGACGGUAAUGGGUAAAGAAGCACCGGCUAACUACGUG
rnacentral:rRNA from 1 species